UCUGUACAAACUUAUGAGGUGAUACUAGUUUUCCCCCCAUUUGAGAAAUGUUCUAAAUACAUAUUUACACAAGUUCAAUGCCCAGCAAGUCAUGGCUAAAUAAAUCAUUUUUCCUUCAGAUCGUCGUCAUCCAACGCAGUUUUCUUGCAGAUUGGACACACGUUCUUCAUUGACAGCCAUCUUCUUAUGCAUCCAACAUGAAAAUCAUGGAUGCACGAUUUCAACGUCCCGACAUCAUCCAUGUUAACAUACUCUUCCAGACAGAUAACACAAUUUCCUUCCUCAUGAUUUUGGCCUGAGGAACAAUAAAUUGACUCGGUCAUGCACUUUGAAAUCAGUUCCUCCGACAAGCCAGUAUUGACAUGGCCAAUUCUUUCUCCCAGAGCCAGAAGCUCCUCAUAGCCCAUGUCGUCAAUGUCAAGUCUCAUGUCCCUAUGCUGGUCAAACAUGCUUCUGGACCCAUAAUAAGUAGAGCGGUCUGGAAUAAUCACGCCCUCAGAUGCAACUUGCUCACGGAAACCUGCCUCACCAGCCAACGAUCUGUACCUAUCACUGGAUACCCUAGUUCUCCCAUUUCGGUCACUACUACGCAGUCCUAGAGUAGACAAUGGUCGUGAAUGUCUUGAGGAGUAACCUUCAGCAAACAACUGUGAUCCGUCAUCUGAAGUCCCAACAUGCCCAUGACGCAAAUAGCUUGAAGAAGUCCUAAAAGUAGGGGAAGAUCUUUGACUAUAGCUACUUCUGACUCCCCUUGAAGAUGGCAAGCUGCCAGGUAAAUGCUGAGGAAGGGAAGUUCUGUUGGAGGUGAAAUCAUUGUGGUAAUUCCCCAUCUCCAGAGAGGUAGAGAUAUUGCCGGUAACCAUAUCAUAGUGGUUCAUAUCAUAACAAAAGAAGCUUGCAUCAGGAGCGAAGUUCCUCCCAUGGGCAGCUGCAGGGGGCAUGACAGUAUGGUUCCAUUCCCUUGCUGAAGAAUUCGAACUUGGAGCUAGAUAAUUCACUGAAUUACAAUAAUCAGUGGAUGUUCUACUGCUGUUAGAGUGAUGUGAAGGAGUACUUGUUAUAUGAGCCCUUCCUACAUUAUUUUGCAGGUCAAAUGCAGCUCUGCUUCUUACAUUCCUCUGAGAACCCUCACCUCCAAUAGACAGACUAUUACCUCGGUAAUUAGGAUGUAAACCCCAAGUUGUGUAAUGGGGGUCUGGAUUUUGUUUCUCCUGCCAAGAUUCAGAAGGGAGAUCAGAUGAACUGCCAGCAUCAAAGUAUCUGCUUGUACUACCACUUUCGCCACCUGCAGGUAUACCAGGACUCUUUCGUUUGUACGGCCCUCUCCCACUACCCAUUGUGAGGUCAACAAGGCCACCAUCCACCCCAUGAUAUGUCUGGCCACCAUGGGCUGAUGAAGAUGCUUGAUGUGGAUAAUUCUCAUGGAUCAUAUGAAAGCCUCCAGUACCUGAAUGUAGAAAAGGGUCAUGAAGAGGACCUUGAACCUGUGGCUGACAGUGUGGAAUUUCCAUAUUUGGAUUCAAGGAAGAAUAUCCACUUGGCCUAGAGCCAUGCCCCUGAGAAGAAUGGUGUGCCCCGUCAAUUGACAUACUAUCCACUGGAUAAACAAUAUUACUGCUUUCCGGAACACCAGUCCUUGCGUAAGGCAAAGGUGCCUGCUCUGGAAUGUUCCAUCUCUGAUCAUCUUCCGUCCCAAAUAUUGGAGGCGUGUUGAAUGAAUUUCUGUGCCCCAUUGUACGUGAAAGUAAGCAAUAAAUUUAUCUCUCCGCGAAAAGAAAUAUGAACAAGUGAGUCUCACUCAAAUCUGGUCAGCCACAAAGGAAAAGUAUUAUGUCUUCAGGUCCUUGCAAGGUCUUUAACUCUGCGGCUGAGUGAUAUACGGAGAAGUUUUGCCGGUGAAGAAACCGGUAGCUUUUGCUUGUGGAUGAUCGGAUGAUUGAGACG
rnacentral:misc_RNA from 1 species